rnacentral:rRNA from 1 species
UACGUAGGGUGCGAGCGUUAAUCGGAAUUACUGGGCGUAAAGCGUGCGCAGGCGGUUCGUUGUGUCGGCGGUGAAAGCCCCGGGCUUAACCUGGGAAUGGCCGUUGAAACUGGCGAACUGGAGUGUGGCAGAGGGGGGUGGAAUUCCGCGUGGUAGCAGUGAAAUGCGUAGAGAUGCGGAGGAACACCGAUGGCGAAGGCACCCCCCUGGGCUAACACUGACGCCUCAGGCACGAAAGCGUGGGGAGCAAACAGG